UACGUAGGGUGCAAGCGUUAAUCGGAAUUACUGGGCGUAAAGCGUGCGCAGGCGGUUAUGUAAGACAGUUGUGAAAUCCCCGGGCUCAACCUGGGAACUGCAUCUGUGACUGCAUAGCUAGAGUACGGUAGAGGGGGAUGGAAUUCCGCGUGUAGCAGUGAAAUGCGUAGAUAUGCGGAGGAACACCGAUGGCGAAGGCAAUCCCCUGGACCUGUACUGACGCUGAGACACGAAAGCGUGGGGAGCAAACAGG
rnacentral:rRNA from 1 species